rnacentral:misc_RNA from 1 species
GAGAGAUUCCGUACACCAUCAGGGUACGAGCUAGCCCAUGGCGUACACCAUCAGGGUACGACUAGUAGAUCUCGUACACCAUCAGGGUACGGAAUUCUCUAGAGUGUCGACGAACUAAGUGAUCUAGAAAGGUAUGUCUAAAGUUAUGGCCACGUUUCAAAUGCGUGCUUUUUUUUUAAAACUUAUGCUCUUAUUUACUAACAAAAUCAACAUGCUAUUGAACUAGAGAUCCACCUACUUCAUGUU